GAUGAACGCUGGCGGCGUGCCUAAUACAUGCAAGUCGAGCGAAUGGAUUAAGAGCUUGCUCUUAUGAAGUUAGCGGCGGACGGGUGAGUAACACGUGGGUAACCUGCCCAUAAGACUGGGAUAACUCCGGGAAACCGGGGCUAAUACCGGAUAACAUUUUGAACCGCAUGGUUCGAAAUUGAAAGGCGGCUUCGGCUGUCACUUAUGGAUGGACCCGCGUCGCAUUAGCUAGUUGGUUAGGUAACGGCUCACCAAGGCAACGAUGCGUAGCCGAACUGGUAGGGUGAUGGGCCACACUGGGACUGAGAGACGGCCCAGACUCCUACGGGAGGCAGCAGUAGGGAACCUUCCGCAAUGGACGAAAGUCUGACGGAGCAACGCCGCGUGAGUGAUGAAGGCUUUCGGGUCGUAAAACUCUGUUGUUAGGGAAGAACAAGUGCUAGUUGAAUAAGCUGGCACCUUGACGGUACCUAACCAGAAAGCCACGGCUAACUACGUGCCAGCCGCCGCGGUAA
rnacentral:rRNA from 1 species